UUUUAUUGACUAUGACCAUUUUUCUUUAUUCCAUAUGUGCUUAAUUGUAGCCUAUUGUUAUUUUAUUUAUUUUUGAAGUUUAUAAUUUAAUAUGAUAUUUUUCUUUUUCUGUUUUAUUGAAUAUGACCAUUUUUCUUUAUUCCAUAUAUGUUAAUUAUAGCCUCUUUGAUAAAAUUUAAUGAUCAAUCUCUCAUAUUUACAAUAAAUGAAAAUAGUUCUUUUAUAUCUCAUGAAUGUUUUUG
rnacentral:lncRNA from 1 species